CGGCCGCAGGUGCCAGUGUAGUGAAGAAUUUUGUGUCCUGAAGCGUUUUCAUACUGCCGCUCAGCCUAUCGCUGGCUGAGUCUGACUUCGCUGCGGCUGGUGAUUGGCUGAUUCGUCCGACCACCGGUAACCAGGAAGUGGAUUGUGGCAGAGAGCCGGUUACCGGAGGCCCCGGGGGAGCGGAGGAAGGUAGAAAAUGUUGCAUUUUCUAACGCUUCUCAUCUGCCUUGCUGGAGGCUUGGAUACAGUAUUUGGAUACUCAAAUGGACAGAUAAGCGUUGCCUGUGACAGCAUGCUUCCAAGCCACAGUAAUGGUGUCCCCCAGUCAUCUGUGUCCCCGUAUAACAUCACGGUGUCCAAUAAAACGUUUUCUCCUGGGGACGUUAUUACAGUGACCAUACAGUCCGUGUCUGGUGCAGCCUUCAAAGGAUUCCUCCUUCAAGCCCAGUCAGUGGGAGGAAACUGGAUUACUGGAACGUUUUCCACCACGGAUUCUAACACUCAGUUAUUAACAUGCACACAACCAAAUUCAGCUGUCAGUCAUACAAGUAACAGCCAGAAAACCAAAAUCACAGCCUCCUGGACAGCUCCACAGGGGGCCGGACCUGUCGUCUUCAUAGCAACAGUUGUACAGAGUUUCAGCGUCUUCUGGACUGGAGUGCAGAGCGACGUCGUACAAGCAUUACAGAUUUCGGACACCACAUGUGGGUCUCAGAAGUUUUGCCUCACCGAUCCGACAAACUGUAGUCCUACUGACAGCACGUGUAACUUCAUGUCCUCCGCUCCCACCAGCAAUGGAUUCGUGUUUGAGAUGAGCGGCCCCACUGUUGGAUACGUGGCCAUUGGGUUCUCUGAUGAUGCUAAAAUGGGGAACGAUGACGUUUUUAUUUGCACCAAGAACUCUUCAGGUUACAUUUUGGUACAAAGAGGAUACAACACCGGAACGGUAGCUCCAACAAUCAGAAGCAAUAACACAGCCGGAUCAAUAGUAUCAUCCUAUAAAAAUGGCGUCCUACAAUGUUCCUUUAUCUCUCAAACCGUCAUCUCCACACAACAACGAUCAAGUGGUAAUACCAACUUCUUUGUCUUCCUGGUCAAUGGCCCUUCGGGUGCAGAUGGAACAAUCAAUCAGCAUACCAAGACAACGAUAUCAAACGGUCAAGUGGACAUCUCAAGUUAUGUGAAAUCUGGUGCACAGAGCGGACUAGAUCCGGUGGUUCGCGCACAUGGUUCCCUCAUGCUGAUCGCCUGGAUGACAACUGGGAGUAUCGGGAUGAUUAUGGCGCGAUAUAUGAAGAGUGCGGCUGGAAAACCGUUCCUCGGGAAGGCUAUAUGGUUCCAGGGUCACUUCUUUCUCAUGAUAUUGACAGUGGUCCUGACCAUAAUAGCGUUCAUCAUGGUGUUUGUGUAUGCUGGUGACUGGAGUGGAGGAGCCCAUCCAGUCCUUGGGGUCAUAGUUAUGAUACUGUCAUUCUUCCAACCCAUCUUUGCUUUUUUCCGCCCAGAUCCUAAGAGCGAAAGACGUUUCAUCUUCAACUGGGGACAUAGUAUAAAUGCACUAGUGAUAAAAAUCCUUGCAGUGGCGGCCAUCUUUCUCGGCCUAGAGUUGGUGGAUAGAUCAUCAAACCUAUGGAUGCCCAAGGUGAUGGGAGGAUUUUUCGCGUGGGAAGUCCUCUUUUAUAUUAUCCUGGAAGCCAACAUGCGCCUGGGAAUGAGAGCAAAUCAAGAACAUAAGGCGCCUGUCGAGAAAGUAGCACUAAACAUCUUCAUAUGUGGUAAUCUGGCCUUUCUGAUCGCCCUGUUGGUCGGAAUCGGACAAUCUUAACCAGGGCUCAAGUCCUGCAGGAGAUUGUGGGAACUGAGUUCCUUCACUUUUUCCACAGCAGGAACACCAUUCCCAUUAGCAGGAGUCCUGCAGGACCAGCCCUUAAGUGGCAAAUCUUGGGUCCCUAUUGAUCUCCAAGCAAAUUAUGGCUAAAGCCUCCCAGCCAACAAAGCCUCCCAUGACGUUCACCAUCCAUCCAAGUUUAUGAUCUAGGAACUGUAAUCCCAGGAUAAGAUUUGCCACUCCACUUUGAGAUAUCGAGCCAAAAUCAUCCCUAAACUUCCUGUGGUCAUCCAAGCAAUAAGCAUGAGGGCCCCUGCAGAUGUGAGAAGAUAGAACGUCACAUACACAGGCGUCCAGUGGGCGGAGUUACUUAAUGAGUGCCAUUGUCUCCUGUAUGACUGUGUAUAUAGAGGACCACCCACUGGACUCCUAAGUCCAGAAAGAGCGGUGAUUUAAAUGAGCCGGUCAUCUGAAAAGCCAAUAGAGACAUAACCGGCUGAAGGACCGCUGAUCUCGUAAUGAUAGGUCCCGUCAUCGGUCUUGGCGGAGGACAUGAAGACGCAGCUACUACUUGAGGAAGG